GAUGAAGAACGUAGCGAAAUGCGAUAAGUAAUGUGAAUUGCAGAAUUCAGUGAAUCAUCGAAUCUUUGAACGCACAUUGCGCCCGCCAGUAUUCUGGCGGGCAUGCCUGUUCGAGCGUCAUUACAACCCUCAGGCCCCCGGGCCUGGCGUUGGGGAUCGGCGGAGCCCCCCGUGGGCACACGCCGUCCCCCAAAUGCAGUGGCGGUCCCGCCGCAGCUUCCAUCGCGUAGUAGCUAACACCUCGCGACUGGAGAGCGGCGCGGCCACGCCGUAAAACACCCAACUCUUCUGAAGUUGACCUCGAAUCAGGUAGGAAUACCCGCUGAGUUUAAGCAUAUCAAUAAGCGGAGGA
rnacentral:misc_RNA from 1 species